AUGAACGCUAGCGACAGGCCUAACACAUGCAAGUCGAGGGGCAGCGCAAGGAGCAAUCUGAGGUGGCGACCGGCGCACGGGUGAGUAACACGUAUGCAACCUGCCUGUAAGCGGGGAAUAACCCGUUGAAAGACGGACUAAUACCGCAUAAUACUAAAUUACUGCAUGGUAAUUUAUUUAAACAUUUAUGGCUUACAGAUGGGCAUGCGCAUGAUUAGCUAGUUGGAGAGGUAACGGCUCCCCAAGGCAACGAUCAUUAGGGGUUCUGAGAGGAAGGUCCCCCACACUGGUACUGAGACACGGACCAGACUCCUACGGGAGGCAGCAGUGAGGAAUAUUGGUCAAUGGACGAGAGUCUGAACCAGCCAAGUCGCGUGCAGGAAGAAUGUCCUUAAUGGAUUGUAAACUGCUUUUGCAGGGGAAUAAAGUGCAUCACGUGUGAUGUUUUGUAUGUACUCUGCGAAUAAGGAUCGGCUAACUCCGUGCCAGCAGCAGC
rnacentral:rRNA from 1 species